rnacentral:tRNA from 1 species
UGCGCGGUAGUGUAACUGGCAACAUAUGGGUUUCAUAUGCCCGGGCUACGGGUUCGAGUCCCGUCUGCGCAACUA